UAUUUUGUUGGAAGUAAAUUAAAACUCUUUCAAAAGUUUUUCUCCGGCUGAGUUUAUCAAACCCUAAUACAUCCACCGCCAUGAGUUUCACUCUAGCAGUUACAAGGCAAAAUAUUGUCAGAUUCUGGUUAUGGGUUUUUGGUAUGACAAUCCGCAAGGUUAAACGAGUCGAAUGGUGGUCUUAGUUGCCGAUUUCAAUGGGAUUUUGUGCAGAUAUUUAGGAUUUCAUUCUCCGGUACAUCUCUUCAAAAGAACAGGAAAGAAAAAGGAUGCAAGAAGAUCGUGAUUCUGUAUACUGCAAAAGACUUAAAAGCUGGGAAAACUAAUUGGAAAAAGAAAAGGAUGCAAGAAGAUCGUGAUUCUGUAUACUGCAAAAGACUCAAAAGCUGGGAAAACUAAUUGGAUGAUGCAUCAAUACCAUCUUGGUACUGAGAAGGCUGAAAAGGAAGGCUCGUUCGUUGUGUCAAAAGUAUAACCCCACUUCCUUCUCGUCUUCAUCUGUACCAAGAUGAUACUCAUGCAUCACCCAGUUAGUUUUCUCUGUAUAUAAAAGCAUUGAGAGCAUGUGUGCUUCCUGACCAUCCUUGAAGAGGAUGGGUGUUUCCAUUGGAUCAAGAUCAAAUAAGUUGGAUGACAAGAUUUCUGCAAAGAAAGAAGAAGUGGACAGAAAGAAGAAGUGGAGAGAACCUUGGAAUUAUUUCAUCUACAUCUUGAUAAAGGAGGUUAAUUAUAUAUAGAACAAGAAACAACCGUCAUUCUUUAUAUUAGGUUUUUAAGAGAGAACAACAAUAAUAAUAUGUGUAGGUAAAAUGUCAUUAGCCUUUCUAAAUGCAUAACAACUCUAAUGUUGUAUUAAGGGUUCUACAGAUGCUCCAUUGCAAGACACUACUACUUUUAGUUUGUGAAAAGCCUUCCUAAGAAUUUAUGUUGUUGUAUAUUGAUGAGAGUGCCCACGUUAAAUUGAAACCUCUUUGAAAACAAUAUAAUGGAACCUGAGGAAUUCCCCCUUCUAAAAAUAAAUCUAUUACCAUCAUAAAUUGAUUAUGUAAGUGCAUUUGUAAGUUGAAACAUCAAUAUUCAGUUACAAGUAAGGAAUGACGUCUUGAAUGCAAUCAACUUGCACUUUCUGAAUAUUUCUUCAAGAACUCAUGGAGUAAUGCCAGUACAGUUCUUAGAUGGAAGUAAUGUGAGUACAGUUCUUAGAUGGAAGUAAUGUGAUUUGAAGAUACUGAGGCCUGUUAGUGUUGGUCAUAUCCCUGCAUGCAUAUUUGAUAUGUAUUAGGUAAUAGACACAAUAAAGAUGUAUAUCAGAUGAUUGAAAAUUUUGUGGUAUGUCUAGAAAUGACUGAGGAGGGGCUAUAUACCCGAUUUGUAUGUAUGUUUACCCACUGUAUUCAUGAUUUUAAUACAUAGUCUCAACAACAUUCACUCUUUAGCUAUCAAUUCAUUUUCUCACAGCUCUAUUGAUAUUCAUGUCUCUCUUUUUACUAAAGCAUGUAUUGUAAUAAUGUGAUGCUGCCAAAAAGGUUGCCCACUUGAAAAUGCUCUUGGACCAUUUGGGAAAUGCCCCUUGUAUGGUGGCAUGGCAUGAGUGUUGUUAGAUUAUUCUACCUCCCAUGACCGCUCUCUGUCUCGUGACCACUCUCUACCUCGGGGCCGAUGGUGCGGUUGCAACUCCUCUGCUCCUCGCUCACAACUCCCAUGGGCACAGUUUUCUCACCACUAGUCCUGUAGUGGUAGUGACUUCAAUCAGUGUUGCUCAGCCUCUACGCCAUGUCGUGGAUCUGCUUCCGGGUGGGGUACAAGGGGUGUUGAUUUUCUUGCUGCUGGUGGUUCUAGUUGGUCGAAUACCAGCAGAGAUUUUACCUGGCUUGGCUCUUCCAAAGGGUUCUCCUGGCUUGCUUUGGCCAUUUCUCUGACCAGGAAGGAGAAGGAGAAUGAAGAGAGGACAACUGAAGAAGGGUGGUUCCUCUCGGACAACAACCCUGACCCUGCUUCAAUGUAUGGGAUCCUAAGGAUGAUCGUGAUCCACCUCCAUUUUCUAUUCUUAUUUCUUUAGUGGCUUA